rnacentral:rRNA from 1 species
GAGUUUGAUCAUGGCUCAGAUUGAACGCUGGCGGCAUGCCUUACACAUGCAAGUCGAACGGUAACGCGGAGCAAUCUGGCGACGAGUGGCGAACGGGUGAGUAAUAUAUCGGAACAUACCCUAGAGUGGGGGAUAACGUAGUGAAAGUUACGCUAAUACCGCAUACGAUCUGAGGAUGAAAGUGGGGGAUCGCAAGACCUCAUGCUCAUGGAGUGGCCGAUAUCUGAUUAGCUAGUUGGUAGGGUAAAAGCCUACCAAGGCGACGAUCAGUAGCUGGUUUGAGAGAACGACCAGCCACACUGGAACUGAGACACGGUCCAGACUCCUACGGGAGGCAGCAGUGGGGAAUUUUGGACAAUGGGGGCAACCCUGAUCCAGCAAUGCCGCGUGAGUGAAGAAGGCCUUCGGGUUGUAAGGCUCUUUUGUCAGGGAAGAAAAGGUAGUCUCUAAUACAGACUGCUCAUGACGGUACCUGAAGAAUAAGCACCGGCUAACUACGUGCCAGCAGCCGCGGUAAUACGUAGGGUGCAAGCGUUAAUCGGAAUUACUGGGCGUAAAGCGUGCGCAGGCGGUUAUAUAAGUCAGAUGUGAAAUCCCUGGGCUCACCU